rnacentral:rRNA from 1 species
AGAGUUUGAUCCUGGCUCAGGACGAACGCUGGCGGCGUGCCUAAUACAUGCAAGUUGAACGCUUGAUUUUCACCGAAGCUUGCUUCACCGAAAAUCAAGAGUAGCGAACGGGUGAGUAACGCGUGGGUAACCUACCUUUCAGCGGGGGAUAACUAUUGGAAACGAUAGCUAAUACCGCAUAACAAUGUUGGAUGCAUAUUCGACAUUUGAAAGUACCAACUGGUACACUGAGAGAUGGACCCGCGUUGUAUUAGCUAGUUGGUAGUGUAAUGGACUACCAAGGCGAUGAUACAUAGCCGACCUGAGAGGGUGAUCGGCCACAUUGGGACUGAGACACGGCCCAAACUCCUACGGGAGGCAGCAGUAGGGAAUCUUCGGCAAUGGACGAAAGUCUGACCGAGCAACGCCGCGUGAGUGAAGAAGGUUUUCGGAUCGUAAAACUCUGUUGUUAGAGAAGAACGUUGCAUAGAGUGGAAAAUUAUGCAAGUGACGGUAUCUAACCAGAAAGGGACGGCUAACUACGUGCCAGCAGCCGCGGUAAUACGUAGGUCCCGAGCGUUGUCCGGAUUUAUUGGGCGUAAAGCGAGCGCAGGUGGUUUAAUAAGUCUGAUGUAAAAGGCAGUGGCUCAACCAUUGUGUGCAUUGGAAACUGUUAGACUUGAGUGCAGUAGAGGAGAGUGGAAUUCCAUGUGUAGCGGUGAAAUGCGUAGAUAUAUGGAGGAACACCGGUGGCGAAAGCGGCUCUCUGGACUGUCACUGACACUGAGGCUCGAAAGCGUGGGUAGCAAACAGGAUUAGAUACCCUGGUAGUCCACGCCGUAAACGAUGAGUGCUAGUUGUUUGGGGCUAUCCAGCCCUAAGUGACGCAGCAAACGCAUUAAGCACUCCGCCUGGGGAGUACGACCGCAAGGUUGAAACUCAAAGGAAUUGACGGGGGCCCGCAC